GCUCGCAAGAAGUGAAGCAAAAAACAGGCCUUAUUUGUUUGGUAGCUGUUGUCUGCAGCAUCCCUAUUUUGAAACUCUUCUCCAUUUCACACACUCUCAUCCAUCUCCCUAUAAAAUCCAAACCUACCCAUUUCUAGCUUCUUCACUUACUAACUUCUCCAUCAGAUAGAGAGAAGAAGAAGAAGAAGAAGAAGAAAGUGAAAUGGCGGUCAGUUCUAGAGGGAAAAUGACAGAGUUCGGGGGGAUUGUUUCAAGGAAGUGGAAUGAUAGAGAAAUAAGCCCAGAAAGAAACAAAGUCUGGAUUGAACCCAAGCCUCACAACAAGUCUUCCCUCACUGAAAGAAAGGUUGCUGUUGUUUAUUAUUUGUCUAGGAGUGGUCAGCUUGAACAACCUCAUUUCAUGGAAGUUCCUCUCUCUUCUAAUGAUGGACUUUAUCUCAAAGAUGUAAUCAACCGCCUAAACCUCCUUCGAGGCAAAGGCAUGGCUAGUCUAUACUCUUGGUCUUCCAAACGGAGCUACAAAAACGGAUUCGUUUGGCACGACUUAGCAGAAAACGAUUUCAUUUACCCAUCUCAUGGCCAAGAAUACAUUCUCAAAGGAUCGGAGAUUCUCGACCACACGAUCAACUCUCAAGCACUUGACAUAACGUCGUCUUCUUUUCGAUUACCAAAACCGGCGGAGUCUCAGAAGUCAGAGAACGAGCAUGAUUUUCCGUCAAUAAGACGACGGAGGAAUCAGUCUUGGAGUUCCAUUGAUCUCCAUGAGUACAAAGUUUACAAGUCUGAGUCGAGACCCGAAUCAAUCGGGAGAAUCGCUGCUGAUGCGUCGACUCAGACUGAUGAUAAGAGGAGAAGAAGAAAAGCGUUGGUUAAGGAACCGGAAAUCGAAGAGCUAGAAAGUACUGAAGGUCAAAGUCAAGAGUUGGAACUGAAUCAUACUACGGAGCUGAGUAGGGAAGAGAUUUCACCUCCACCGUCGGAUUCAAGCCCGGAGACAUUGGAAUCCUUAAUGAAAGCUGAUGGACGGUUGAGAUUGGGCAACGGUGGUGGUAGUAACGAAGAUAGCUUGAACCGUACGGCUGAGAGUUGCUCAAGUGGGAGGAUUAAGGCGUCGUCCGUUUUGAUGCAGUUGGUAUCGUGCGGUUCGAUGUCGUUUAAGGAUUGUGGAGCCAGCUCAGAGAAGGAUGAAGGGUUCUCGUUGAUUGGACAUUACAAAUCGAGGUUACCACGCGGGGCAGGGAGUUGUAGCCAGGUGGGAAAAGAAGCUGGGAUUGAGAGGGAAACGGGGAGCUUCUCAAGGGUAAGCUUGGAAGAUAAAGAGUAUUUUAGUGGGAGCUUGAUUGAGACCAAGAAAGAGGAGAUCCCUAACUUGAAGAGAUCUUCUUCUUACAAUGCUGAUAGGUGGUCCUGGAAUUUAAAUCUUGCGGUUGGGUUUUAAUGUAAUGAAACUUAUUCGGCAAAUGAUUUGACUACAUUAGUACUAGCUUUGAAGGAGGGACCAGCAGGAGAUCGCAGCUGCAGCUGGCCGGAAAGGAGAUGGACGGAGUGCGUACAAAGUGCAUACCGAGGAAGCCGAGAACUUAGUGAUGGAAGAAAAAAGUCAACACCGUCGCAUGACACCAAUGAAAGUAGAAGCUAUAAUUGACAGACGCGAUGUCUAGAUCUGAAUUAGUUAUGUGAAUUGUAGUAAUUUGUAGUUUCGUAACUAGACAGUGAGAACUAUUGCGAAUAACAAUGGCAAAUUAUUUAUAGAGCAAGCUGCUUCGCGGACGGUUUGCCUUCGCAAUGAUAGGAAGCGCAGGGUUGGGUGAUUGGUGCCUUGGUUUUUGUGGGAGUGGCUAAGUCUUGUUGUCUGUGCACGGGCGAUAACCUCUAGUUGUGAUAUGUCCUUUUUGACACUAAUUUAGUUCGACUCUGAAUUAAAACAUAGGAAAUGGAAUUUCAUCCUAGGUCUUAUCGUCCGCUUUGGGCAUUGGUGUCACUGACGAGUGUUCUUCAUGGUGAUUGGAGAUGUGAAAAAUUCACCAAUCUCUACCAAGAAAGUUGCAACAUUUACUUUGCUAAUAUUUUACUGACAAUUUGGAAUAGGAGUAAUUUUUGAUA